UUAGGUAUUAACGAUUUGAUUCUGCUUUUGAGCUUUUGAAAAAUUUCCUGAGAAUAUGCUUUAGGUUUCCCUUGUUUUGGAGAAUGAUUCGGUUAAGGGUUAACAUUUGUGGUUGUAUCAUGUGUUAGCUGUAUUCAUUAUAGAUCGCGACAUGCAAUAUUUAUUUCCGUGGUUCAUGAUUUUUUUCACAACUUCUUAAUCAUUUUAUCUGUCUGUGUUUGGGGUUUUUGGUUCUUGUGUUCGUACAAUAACGAUUGCGACGGAGAAGACUUGCCUCUUCUAAUUCUUCCUCCUCCUUCUGGUCAAUUCGAAGAUGGAGAGAGAGUCUUAGCCAACCACAGUGAUUGCUUCUACGAAGCCAAGAAAGCACAGUCUUCUAUGUUCGAGAGAAGGAGAGCAGAUCCAAAGAAUGUGGCUGCAAUCAUUCUAGGAGGAGGCGAUGGAGCUAAACUCUUUCCUCUUACCAAGCGAGCAGCAACACCGGCUGUUCCGGUGGGUGGAUGCUAUAGGAUGAAACAGGUUCUCGCUGCUACACAAACUCCUGGUGAAACUGGGAAAAAGUGGUUUCAAGGAACAACAGAUGCUGUCAGAAAAUUUCUAUGGGUGUUUGAGAACAGAGUUUACUUGUUUUUUUGAGUAUGCUGCUAGAGGUGAGCUUUGCAAGGAGCUUCAAAAAUGCAAGUACUUCAGCGAUCGCUGCUUCUCAAAGAAGGUUUCCUUGUGAUCUCAAGUCGGCACAAGAGAACAUCAAGUCUCUUGUCUUCGAUUCUGCUCUUCCCAUGACUAAACUCGUGAGCUCAAGUCGGCACAAGAGAACAACAAGUCUCUGGUCUUCAGUGAAUCUUGUGAUCUCAAGUCGGCACAAGAGAACAACAACCUUCUCGUGACUAAACCCGUGUCUCAACCUUUCCGUCAGAACGUCCGUGAACUUUUUUGUGUUUUUCUUUCCCCACUUGAUGUUCAGUAAGCUUGUAUAUAUAGCUUUACGAGAAUCGGAUACUUCCCAACUCUCUCUUAAACGAGAAUCGACUAUUUCCCAACUCUCUUGUAAACUCAUAUUCAGUCUGCUUUAUUCUUAAGUUUUAAAUAUUUUCUCCA